UUAUAUUGCUUUAUUUUUUAUUUUGUAUUUAUAUAUUGGAAAUAACUUUUUUAUUAGUAAUUUUUAUUGAAAUUAUUAUUUUAGCAAUAGUUUAUUUUACUGUGAAGGAGUUUUAUGAAUUAUAUAUAAGCAGAUUUAUUUUAUUGUACCUUUUGUAUCAGGGUUUAUCAAUUUAAAAUUAAUUAUAUUAAUUUUCCCGAAAUUAAAAGAGAUAUAUUUAAAUGAUAGUUUACGUGUUAAAGUAAUUUUUAAUUUAAAUAUAGAGGUUAUAUGCUAUUCAAUUUUAAAUAUCUGGUUUUCUAAUAAAUUAAUUCAAUUAAUGAUGUUAUUAGUUAAUUUAUAAUUUAAUUUUAUUUAAU
rnacentral:rRNA from 1 species